rnacentral:rRNA from 1 species
GACGAACGCUGGCGGCGUGCUUAACACAUGCAAGUCGAACGGAAAGGCCCUGCUUUUGUGGGGUGCUCGAGUGGCGAACGGGUGAGUAACACGUGAGUAACCUGCCCUUGACUUUGGGAUAACUUCAGGAAACUGGGGCUAAUACCGGAUAGGGGCUCCUGCUGCAUGGUGGGGGUUGGAAAGUUUCGGCGGUUGGGGAUGGACUCGCGGCUUAUCAGCUUGUUGGUGGGGUAGUGGCUUACCAAGGCUUUGACGGGUAGCCGGCCUGAGAGGGUGACCGGCCACAUUGGGACUGAGAUACGGCCCAGACUCCUACGGGAGGCAGCAGUGGGGAAUAUUGCACAAUGGGCGGAAGCCUGAUGCAACAACGCCGCGUGCGGGAUGACGGCCUUCGGGUUGUAAACCGCUUUCGCCUGUGACGAAGCGUGAGUGACGGUAAUGGGUAAAGAAGCACCGGCUAACUACGUG